UCAGUAGCAGAGAAAACAGUGUAAACAAGAACAAAAGUACCGAUGAUUUCAGCGCCUAAUCCAGUUCCUUUGUUAUACCCAUUACUGAGCAUAUUAGCACCGCCGUUGUAUCUAACAUAAUAAGCAGAUUGGAAGGCUCUAACCAAGCCACAGCCGCAAAUAGCACCGGCGCACUGAGCAAUGAUGUACAACAGAGCACGAACCAGAGAGACUUUGCGAGCUAAGAAGAGGCCGAAAGUGACGGCGGGGUUAAUGUGGCCACCGGAGAUACCAGCGGUGCAGUAAACAAGGAUGAAAAUCAUACCGCCGAAGGCCCAAGCGAUACCGAGGAUGCCAACGCCGUUACAGGGGUCGGUGGAAACGGAAGGGUCGCUUUGGUGGGAGUAACCGAUGACGGUCAAAACGGUGACAUAGAGGAAGAGGAGAGUGGCGAUGAACUCGGCGAUGGCGGCUCUGUAAAGAGACCAUUUGGUUAGUUCUUCAGGGUCGAUGAGAGGAGCGGGAGGUGGGUCUUGGUAGUCUUUGCUUUGGAAUUCGCCUUGCUCUGCAACUUCAACGUCUUUCCCCAUUUUUGUGUUUUGUUUUUGGGUUAGGAGUUUUUGGGAAGAGAAAUGAAGUGAAAAAG
rnacentral:misc_RNA from 1 species